rnacentral:rRNA from 1 species
AAGGCAAGCGACCCCAAAAAAGACCAUCCCAGUUCGGAUUGCAGUCUGAAACUCGAGUGCAUGAAGCUGGAAUCGCUAGUAAUCGCAAAUCAGAAUGUUGCGGUGAAUACGUUCCCGGGUCUUGUACACACCGCCCGUCACACCAUGGGAGUUGGAAAUGCCCGAAGUCAGUGACCCAACCUAAGGGAGGGAGCUGCCGAAGGCAGGUUCGAUGACUGGGGUGAAGUCGUAACAAGGUACC